AUUGAACGCUGGCGGCAGGCCUAACACAUGCAAGUCGAACGAGUGGCGGACGGGUGAGUAAUGUCUGGGAAACUGCCUGAUGGAGGGGGCUAACUACUGGAAACGGUAGCUAAUACCGCAUCCCAUCGGAUGUGCCCAGAUGGGAUGAGCUAGUAGGUGGGGUAAAGGCUCACCUAGUCGACGAUCCCUAGCUGGUCUGAGAGGAUGACCAGCCACAUUGGAGAUGAGACGCGGUCCAGACUCCGACGUGAGGCAGCAGUGGGGAACAUUGCACAAUGGGCGCAAGCCUGAUACAGCCAUGCCGCGUGUAUGAAGAAGGGCUUCGGGUUGUAAAGCACGUUCAGCGAGGAGGCGUUACCCGCAGAAGAAGCACCGGCUAACUCCGUGCCAGCCGCCGCGGUAAUUC
rnacentral:rRNA from 1 species